ACCAGACUCCUACGGGAGGCAGCAGUGGGGAAUAUUGGGCAAUGGGCGCAAGCCUGACCCAGCAACGCCGCGUGAAGGAAGAAGGCUUUCGGGUUGUAAACUUCUUUUCUCAGGGACGAAGAAAGUGACGGUACCUGAGGAAUAAGCCACGGCUAACUACGUGCCAGCAGCCGCGGUAAUACGUAGGGGGCGAGCGUUAUCCGGAUUCACUGGGCGUAAAGGGAGCGCAGGCGGCACGGCAAGUCCGGUGUGAAAGCCCGGGGCCCAACCCCGGGACUGCACUGGAAACUGCCGGGCUGGAGUGUCGGAGGGGCAGGCGGAAUUCCCAGUGUAGCGGUGAAAUGCGUAGAUAUUAGGAGGAACACCGGUGGCGAAGGCGGCCUGCUGGACGACGACUGACGCUGAGGCUCGAAAGCGUGGGGAGCAAACAGGAUUAGAUACCCCAGUAA
rnacentral:rRNA from 1 species